GACGAACGCUGGCGGCGUGCCUAAUACAUGCAAGUCGAACGCAGUGGGGACGGGUGAGUAACACGUGGGUAACCUCCCAUCAGAGGGGAUAACACUUGGAAACAGGUGCUAAACCGAUACUGAUGGAUGGACCCGCGGUGCAUUAGCUAGUGGGGGAGGUAACGGCUCACCAAGGCCACGAUGCAUAGCUGGACUGGGGGUGUGAUCGGCCACGCUGUGGCGGAGACACGGCCCAGACUCCUACGGGAGGCAGCAGUAGGGAAUCUUCGGCAAUGGACGAAAGUCUGACCGAGCAACGCCGCGGAAGUGGAGAAGGGUUUCGGAUCGUAAAACUCUGUUGUUAGAGAAGCGGUAUCUAACCAGAAAGCCACGGCUAACUACGUGCCAGCAGCCGCGGUAAUUC
rnacentral:rRNA from 1 species